AUGUGCACAUUGCGUGGGUGAUUGAUGAGUGUUAUUUUUUAUUUCAAAUGUUUUCCCCAAAGAUGGUAUUUCUCGGCAUAAUUGUGCCGCCGCUAAAUAUUUCUACUCCUGCGGUUCAGGCACUCUACGCGAUAAGAAGAGAUUUUAGGACAGCGCCUCCUAUACUGCUUGUGUCGAAAAUGCUGCGACGGAAACAGGGAUUGAUUUGCUUAGCAGUCGGGAUCUGAGCAGAAUGUAAACAAGAAGACAUUCACGGCAGUUGGGCGUGGCAGGUGCAGACCAUUGCUGGGUUACACAUUGCCUCCGGUGGCUUCAGUGAAGGAUGCCAGGAGGCCAGAAGACACAGACCCCCUGUUUCCAUCCCAGCAUGUCCAUGCAUGGAGAACAUAUUUCCUUAGCAGCCGGUACUUUACAGAGAUCGAUCUUGGAGUGACAGAUGCCAGUAUCAUUUGAAUGGACACGAUGCCAAAAUGAAGAAACACUGCACCUGUCCUUUGUCUGUGACCUAGAGCCGUGUCACUUUGAACACUUGAAGGUUGCCAUCAGCUUGGGUCAAGCGCUGAUCACACUCCACAAAUAGCAAAGAAGCAGCACAGCAGUGUCCUUUGCGUGCAGAGCAGAAGAACUUCACCAUAAUGGAACCCGGGUUCCAAAACACUUCUUAUAGUGCAUCAUUCAUUUCUCAGACUGUGGAGAUGUUUGCACAGUUCUUCAGACUUUUAGUUUUUAUUAUAUGUGCACAUUUUUUAUUCCUGUGCAGUCAUCCUCAUCAAUAUUUCUCUCUGGAUUUGGAAUGAAAAAUAUUCUCAUGUGCCAUCUCUGUUCAUCCUUGUAGUUACAUUUUAUCAUUUUAAGCGUAUUUUCUCAUGCUCAGUGUAACGUUGAAUUUGCCAGGUUUUAACUGUUGCUUAUCUGUGUGUGUGUGUGUGUGUGUUCUCCUCUCCCUUUAUGGUGAUAAUCAUCAUCUAUCUCUCACACACACACACACACACACACACACACACACGCUGACAUGACUGAGGCGAACCUGCAUACUCACGCCCGCUCUCCACUUAACCAUAAUUGACCUCUGAAUAUCCAAUCAAUCACAAGUGGAAUUCCACACCCAAAUACUCUACAUAGCCAACACACACAUACACACACAAGCCCACAUGCAAAACUCUGUGACACACACAUGCACAGACACACACAUGCAUACCCACACCCUCGCACACAGACACACACAGAGCCGUCUCCACCCUAAUCCAUACAGUAAAUGGAUUGUAAAUGGAAUCUCCUUCAUCUCAGAGCCAUGCUACGGUGUCUCCUUACAUUGUGGUAGGUCCCAUUACCCAUAAUCCCCUUGGGCUUCAGCACAGUCCAAUAAUGGCUAGAUUAGCAAACACUAUGUUUUUUGCCCACCUUUUAUUAUUUUUUAAAAUAUUCCUUGCAGAUGAUUCCCACUUGGCAGAACUCUCCAUUUCCUGCCUGCCUCUAGGUUGAUGACAAACCAUAUCAAAGAGCAGCCGGCUUAGUGAGCCACAAAGCGAUUGGACGGAUCGCCAGCUGGCAUUAGGGCAAGCCGCCUGACAUUCAAUAGAUGGAUUUAGCUUCCUUUGUGUCCCUCCCUCCCUUUUGUCUGUUUGGUGUCACCAUUUCAAUACAAUAAAGUGCGGAGUGGCUUUCAUCAUAACAAGGUAUUGAUCCCCUUCUUCCCCGCUCACCCACUUGCCAUUUUGAGAAUUGUUAGGGUAAUUGCUGUCGUACAAAAGUUACUGAAGUGAUAAAAAGGCUUUUGGGACAGGUUGUCCUUUGAUAUGGAUGAUAGACCUGUGCUUUAUAGUUGUUGGUGCGCUGUAAAAUACAGUACCUCAGAGAUCUUUACAGGAAAACAAAAAUUGGUAGUGUUGGUGUUGGGUAGAACAGGUGAGCCUUCUCUGUGUGCUGUCAAAUUUCAAGUCUCUGUUGAAUGCCCCCACCCCUCCUGCACCUCCCCCCUCUCCCCCCUCCCCAAAGUC